rnacentral:rRNA from 1 species
AGGGUGAUACUCCCGUCUUUGCCCAGGUUGUCUAUGUGUACGAUACGUUUUCUUUGAGUCGAGUUGUUUGGGAAUACAGCUCAAAGUAGGUGGUAAAUUCCAUCUAAAGCUAAAUAUUGGUGCGAGACCGAUAGCGAACAAGUACCGUGAGGGAAAGAUGAAAAGAACUUUGAAAAGAGAGUUAAAGAGUACCUGAAACUGUUGAAAGGGAACCGUAACAUAUCCAGUGUUGUAUCUCUUAUAUAUUUCACUAGUACAGCAAUGCACUGGUGCCCUGUAUAGGAGUGUGACGUCAAAGUCAGUUUGUAUAUUGCGGGAGAUGGUUUGUAAGGAGGUAUGUCGCUUUUGUGACAGUUAUACCUUAUAAACUAGUUGCCGUGGUUGAGACUGAGGUGCCUACAACAUGCUUACCGAGUCUAUGUUUAUCUCGUUGUUAUAUUUGUUUGGAUAGCUUGCUAUGCUAAUGAACUAUAAUGGCGAUUGGUAGGUGUAGUUACUUGUUGCUGUUCGGGACUUUGACGAAAUGGAAUGUUACGACCCGUCUUGAAACACGGACCAAGGAGUCUAACAUGUAUGCAAGUAUUAGGGUGUGGAAACCCAAAUGCGUAAUGAAAGUAAAUGCUACUUGUGUAGCUUUGGUAGGAAAGGGCUGUCGUGGUCCUGGCACUAUCGACCGAUCAUGAACCCACGGGUGAAAGAUUUGAGUAUGAGCAUAUAUGUUGGUACCCGAAAGAUGGUGAACUAUGCCUGAAUAGAGUGAAGCCAGGGGAAACUCUGGUGGAAGCUCGUAGCGAUUCUGACGUGCAAAUCGAUCGUCAAAUUUGGGUAUAGGGGCGAAAGACUAAUCGAACCAUCUAGUAGCUGGUUCCCUCCGAAAUUUCCCUCAGGAUAGCAGCAACUUUUUACGAUAG